rnacentral:rRNA from 1 species
CAGCCGCCACGGUAAUACGAAGGGUGCAAGCGUUAAUCGGAAUUACUGGGCGUAAAGCGUGCGCAGGCGGUUUCGUAAGACAGAUGUGAAAUCCCCGGGCUUAACCUGGGAACUGCAUUUGUGACUGCGAGGCUAGAGUGUGUCAGAGGGUGGUGGAAUUCCACGUGUAGCAGUGAAAUGCGUAGAUAUCGGAAGGAACACCUGUAGCGAAAGCGGCUCACUGGACAAUAACUGACGCUGAUGCACGAAAGCUAGGGGAGCAAACAGGAUUAGAUACCCGGGUAGUCCCUGUCUCUUAUAC